AUGUACAUUCCUACAACAUAGCGUUAAUGCAUCGGAUCUCAUUAGAACUCCGCAAUUAAACACACUUAGGCUAGAGUAGUACUGGGAUGGGUGACCUCCCGGGAAGUACUAGUGUUUUACAUG
rfam:Picea glauca, whole genome shotgun sequence.